CGGUAUAGACUCUGUUUUUGCACUGUAUCUCUAAACUAAACUAAUUCACUGAUUCUCUUGUGCCCUUGCCUCUGUCUGUCUCCUAUUUCACCAACGGAUACGGAGGACCUCCACUCCCAGUAACCUUCCUCCUCAACCCUCCUUCUAUGCUGUCUUGGGCAAGCCAAAGUCACCAGUCGUCUAUAUUGAUGGACCCAUGCUCUCAGACCUAGGCUACCAUGGACCAUCUGAGGACCAAUGAGCUUAACCUGGCCAAUCUGCACACUGACAGUUGCCGUCUUGCCCGAGGAGAUCCAGAGCAUCUGCAAUGUUCCCUCACUCAUUCCAACAAAGCCUCUGCUGGGUUCGAUCCAGAGUAUGAGGCACUGCCCUAACCAUUAAAGAUGGAUGCCAUGUUGAAAAUAACCUCAAGUUUCCAGAAAGGAAUGGAUGGAUCCUGCUUCUUAUUCCUCCCUCCAGCAAGAUGGCGGUGGUAUGCUUCAUCCUCCAGAUCACCACAACAGCAGUCUGCAGUACCAUCGGGCAGCUCAUUAUGAUGAUGGUAGCCCGGAAUCACCAGGAUAUUGAUCCAGACUUCCAAUUUGUACAUUGACAUAAUUGAAACCGCCUUAUUGGGUUAAAGCACAGAAUGGAUUUAGAUGAAGGAAAUAAUAUGAGCCACUGAAUUCGAUCAUCACCAAAAACAUACCAUCGUUUCUACUUCCUCGGAAGACAAGGAUAUUUUACAUUAAUUUAAAGACUCUUACCAAAUUCUACAGUUGAACUGUAGAAAACGUACUGCCGGCUUGUAUCACAGCUUGGUUUGGGAACAGCUUUGCCCAAGACCUCAAGAAAUUGCAGAGUUGUGGAUCACUCCAGCACACAGACCAGCCAUCCCACCAUUGACUACAUCUACACUUCACUCCUUUGGGAAAACAGCCAACAUAAUCAAAGACCUUUUCCAUUCUUGUCAUUUCCACUUUUCCCUGCUUCCACCACAAAGAGGAUAUAAAAGCUUGAAAGCGUGUACCUUCAGAUGGGAACAGCUUCUUCCCAUUAUUUGAAUUCUGAACGGUCCUUCCAGAAGCUAGGAUACAUUUCCUAAUUUCCAACCAACAUCAUUGUGAACAUUGGACUUUUUCUCAGAAAUGAUUAUGCUACAAUGUUGAGAAAUUGUAUGCUGCACUAUGCAUGUUUCUCCUCUCUCUACCUAUUGUGCUUGUGUAUGACUUGAUUGUAUUUAUGUACAGUAUUACCUGAUUUAAUUGCAUAGCAUGCAAACAAAAGCUUUUCACUGUAUCUCAGUGCACACAACAAUAAAGCAAUUUAAAC